rnacentral:rRNA from 1 species
GAUGAACGCUGGCGGCGUGCCUAAUACAUGCAAGUCGAGCGAACGGACGAGAAGCUUGCUUUUCUGAUGUUAGCGGCGGACGGGUGAGUAACACGUGGAUAACCUACCUAUAAGACUGGGAUAACUUCGGGAAACCGGAGCUAAUACCGGAUAAUAUUUUGAACCGCAUGGUUCAAAAGUGAAAGACGGUCUUGCUGUCACUUAUAGAUGGAUCCGCGCUGCAUUAGCUAGUUGGUAAGGUAACGGCUUACCAAGGCAACGAUGCAUAGCCGACCUGAGAGGGUGAUCGGCCACACUGGAACUGAGACACGGUCCAGACUCCUACGGGAGGCAGCAGUAGGGAAUCUUCCGCAAUGGGCGAAAGCCUGACGGAGCAACGCCGCGGGAGUGAUGAAGGUCUUCGGAUCGUAAAACUCUGUUAUUAGGGAAGAACGUAUGUGUAAGUAACUGUGCACAUCUUGACGGUACCUAAUCAGAAAGCCACGGCUAACUACGU